rnacentral:rRNA from 1 species
GGGGGAUAUUGCACAAUGGGGGAAACCCUGAUGCAGCGACGCCGCGUGAGUGAAGAAGUACUUCGGUAUGUAAAGCUCUAUCAGCAGGGACGAAGAAUGACGGUACCUGACUAAGAAGCCCCGGCUAACUACGUGCCAGCAGCCGCGGUAAUACGUAGGGGGCAAGCGUUAUCCGGAUUUACUGGGUGUAAAGGGAGCGUAGACGGUGACGUAAGUCAGAUGUGAAAGCCCAGGGCUCAACUCUGGGACUGCAUUUGAAACUAUGUUGCUAGAGUGCAGGAGAGGUAAGUGGAAUUCCUAGUGUAGCGGUGAAAUGCGUAGAUAUUAGGAGGAACACCAGUGGCGAAGGCGGCUUACUGGACUGUAACUGACGUUGAGGCUCGAAAGCGUGGGGAGCAAAC